ACAGGGUGGAUGUGAUUGCUCUGGUGUAAGUUCUAGUGGAUCAUCUUCCUCACUCAGAAGUAAUUCCUCUUCUAAUGACACAUCUUAUUCUGGAGGAAGCCGUUACAGUAGCUAUGAUUCCACCUCGCCAUCUUACAACCGUCAGAAUGAACGGGAGUCAUAUUCUUCUGGAGCUAGUCAAUAUGGUGGACAAG